rnacentral:rRNA from 1 species
UACGAAGGGGGCGAGCGUUGUUCGGAUUUACUGGGCGUAAAGGGCGCGCAGGCGGCUUAUUUUGUCAGGCGUGAAAGCCCCGGGCUUAACCUGGGAACUGCGUUUGAUACGGAUGGGCUAGAGUUCGGGAGAGGAGCGUGGAAUUCCCAGUGUAGAGGUGAAAUUCGUAGAUAUUGGGAAGAACACCGGUGGCGAAGGCGGCGCUCUGGACCGAGACUGACGCUGAGGCGCGAAAGCGUGGGGAGCGAACAGG